rnacentral:rRNA from 1 species
AGAGUUUGAUCCUGGCUCAGGACGAACGCUGGCGGCGUGCCUAACACAUGCAAGUCGAACGGAACUGUUUUGAAAGAUUUCUUCGGAAUGAAUUUGAUUUAGUUUAGUGGCGGACGGGUGAGUAACGCGUGAGUAACCUGCCUUCAAGAGGGGGAUAACAUUCUGAAAAGAAUGCUAAUACCGCAUGACAUAUCGGAACCACAUGGUUCUGAUAUCAAAGAUUUUAUCGCUUGAAGAUGGACUCGCGUCCGAUUAGUUAGUUGGUGAGGUAACGGCUCACCAAGACCGCGAUCGGUAGCCGGACUGAGAGGUUGAACGGCCACAUUGGGACUGAGACACGGCCCAGACUCCUACGGGAGGCAGCAGUGGGGGAUAUUGCGCAAUGGGGGCAACCCUGACGCAGCAACGCCGCGUGAAGGAUGAAGGUUUUCGGAUUGUAAACUUCUUUUAUUAAGGACGAAACUUGACGGUACUUAAUGAAUAAGCUCCGGCUAACUACGUGCCAGCAGCCGCGGUAAUACGUAGGGAGCAAGCGUUGUCCGGAUUUACUGGGUGUAAAGGGUGCGUAGGCGGCUUUGCAAGUCAGAUGUGAAAUCUAUGGGCUCAACCCAUAAACUGCAUUUGAAACUGUAGAGCUUGAGUGAAGUAGAGGCAGGCGGAAUUCCCCGUGUAGCGGUGAAAUGCGUAGAGAUGGGGAGGAACACCAGUGGCGAAGGCGGCCUGCUGGGCUUUAACUGACGCUGAGGCACGAAAGCGUGGGUAGCAAACAGGAUUAGAUACCCUGGUAGUCCACGCUGUAAACG